GCUUUCAUAGUUUAAUGGAUAAAACCCAAGUUUGCGGAACUUGUAAUGUAGGUUCGAUUCCUACUGAAAGCACAA
rnacentral:tRNA from 1 species